rnacentral:rRNA from 1 species
ACGGCUCAGUAACACGUGGACAACCUACCCUUAGGUCGGGGAUAAACCCGGGAAACUGGGUAUAAUACCCGAUAGUCCUCGGAUGCUGGAAUGCACCGAGGUCUAAAGCUCCGGCGCCUAAGGAUGGGUCUGCGGCCUAUCAGGUAGUAGUGGGUGUAGCGUACCUACUAGCCUACGACGGGUACGGGUUGUGAGAGCAAGAGCCCGGAGAUGGAUUCUGAGACACGAAUCCAGGCCCUACGGGGUGCAGCAGGCGCGAAAACUUUACAAUGCUGGAAACAGCGAUAAGGGGACCUCGAGUGCCAGGUUACAAAUCUGGCUGUCGUGAUGCCUAAAAAGCAUUGCAUAGCAAGGGCCGGGCAAGACCGGUGCCAGCCGUCGCGGUAACACCGGCGGCUCGAGUGGUAACCGCUAUUAUUGGGUCUAAAGGGUCUGUAGCCGGCCGGAUAAGUCUUUUGGGAAAUCUGGCAGCUUAACUGUCAGGCUUUCAGAGGAUACUGUCUGGCUCGAGGCCGGGAGAGGUGAGAGGUACUUCAGGGGUAGGGGUGAAAUCUUGUAAUCCUUGAAGGACCACCAGUGGCGAAGGCGUCUCACCAGAACGGACCUGACGGCAAGGGACGAAAGCUAGGGGCACGAACCGGAUUAGAUACCCGGGUAGUCCUAGCCGUAAACGAUACUCGCUAGGUGUCGGCCACGGUGCGACCGUUGUCGGUGCCGUAGGGAAGCCGUGAAGCGAGCCACCUGGGAAGUACGGCCGCAAGGCUGAAACUUAAAGGAAUUGGCGGGGAAACAC